GACGAACCGUGCAAACGUUGUUCGGAAUCACUGGGCUUAAAGGGCGCGUAGGCGGGCAAGCAAGUCGAAGGUGAAAUCCCACGGCUCAACCGUGGAAGUGCCCCCGAUACUGCUUGUCUUGAGGGAGAUAGGGGCGUGCGGAACUUCCGGUGGAGCGGUGAAAUGCGUAGAUAUCGGAAGGAACACCGGUGGCGAAAGCGGCGCGCUGGAUCUCUUCUGACGCU
rnacentral:rRNA from 1 species